UACGUAGGGUGCAAGCGUUGUCCGGAAUUAUUGGGCGUAAAGAGCUCGUAGGCGGUUUGUCGCGUCUGCUGUGAAAACUCGGGGCUUAACUCCGGGCCUGCAGUGGGUACGGGCAGACUAGAGUGCGGUAGGGGAGACUGGAAUUCCUGGUGUAGCGGUGAAAUGCGCAGAUAUCAGGAAGAACACCCGUGGCUAAGGCGGCUCUCUAGUACGUGACUGACGCUGAGACGCGAAAGCGUGGGGAGCGAACAGG
rnacentral:rRNA from 1 species